GUGGGGAAUAUUGGGCAAUGGGCGCAAGCCUGACCCAGCCAUGCCGCGUGAAGGAUGAAUGCCCUAUGGGUUGUAAACUUCUUUUGUACGGGACGAAACUCUCGGUCGUGACCGGGAUUGACGGUACUGUAUGAAUAAGCAUCGGCUAACUCCGUGCCAGCAGCCGCGGUAAUACGGAGGGUGCAAGCGUUAUCCGGAUUCAUUGGGUUUAAAGGGUGCGUAGGCGGAAUAAUAAGUCAGUGGUGAAAGCCUGCGGCUUAACCGUAGAAAUGCCGUUGAUACUGUUAUUCUUGAGUAUAGUUGAAGUGGGCGGAAUGUGUAAUGUAGCGGUGAAAUGCUUAGAUAUUACACAGAACACCAAUUGCGAAGGCAGCUCGCUAAGCUGUUACUGACGCUGAGGCACGAAAGCGUGGGGAGCAAACAGGAUUAGAAACCCUUGUAGUCC
rnacentral:rRNA from 1 species